rnacentral:rRNA from 1 species
UGCAGUCGAGCGGGGGACGUAGCUUGCUACUGGACCUAGCGGCGGACGGGUGAGUAAUACUUAGGAAUCUGCCUAUUAGUGGGGGACAACGUUCCGAAAGGAGCGCUAAUACCGCAUACGCCCUACGGGGGAAAGCAGGGGAUCUUCGGACCUUGCGCUAAUAGAUGAGCCUAAGUCGGAUUAGCUAGUUGGUGGGGUAAAGGCCUACCAAGGCGACGAUCUGUAGCGGGUUUGAGAGGAUGAUCCGCCACACUGGGACUGAGACACGGCCCAGACUCCUACGGGAGGCAGCAGUGGGGAAUAUUGGACAAUGGGCGCAAGCCUGAUCCAGCCAUGCCGCGUGUGUGAAGAAGGCCUUAUGGUUGUAAAGCACUUUAAGCGAGGAGGAGGCUUACCUAGCUAAUACCUAGGAUAAGUGGACGUUACUCGCAGAAUAAGCACCGGCUAACUCUGUGCCAGCAGCCGCGGUAAUACAGAGGGUGCAAGCGUUAAUCGGAAUUACUGGGCGUAAAGCGCGCGUAGGUGGCCAUUUAAGUCAAAUGUGAAAUCCCCGAGCUUAACUUGGGAAUUGCAUUCGAUACUGGAUGGCUAGAGUAUAGGAGAGGAAGGUAGAAUUCCAGGUGUAGCGGUGAAAUGCGUAGAGAUCUGGAGGAAUACCGAUGGCGAAGG